UGCAAGUCGAUCGGUAACGCGGGGGCAACCCUGGCGACGAGAGGCGGACGGGUGAGGAACGCUUGGGAAUCUGCCCAUCAGCGGGGGACAACCCGGGGAAACUCGGGCUAAUACCGCAUACGCUCUAUGGAGGAAAGCCGGGGACCGCAAGGCCUGGCACUGAUGGAUGAGCCCAAGUCGGAUUAGCUAGUUGGCGGGGUAACGGCCCACCAAGGCGACGAUCCGUAGCUGGUCUGAGAGGACGAUCAGCCACACUGGGACUGAGACACGGCCCAGACUCCUACGGGAGGCAGCAGUGGGGAAUAUUGGACAAUGGGGGAAACCCUGAUCCAGCGACGCCGCGUGGGUGAAGAAGGCCUGCGGGUUGUAAAGCCCUUUCGGUAGGGACGAAAGCUCUCGACCUAACACGUCGAGAGGAUGACUUAACCUACAAAAGAAGCACCGGCUAACUCUGUGCCAGCAGCCGCGGUAAUACAGAGGGUGCGAGCGUUAAUCGGAAUUACUGGGCGUAAAGCGCACGUAGGCGGCUUGGUAUGUCGGGUGUGAAAUCCCCGGGCUCAACCUGGGAACUGCAUCCGAAACUGCCUUGCUAGAGUAUGGGAGAGGGAAGUGGAAUUUCCGGUGUAGCGGUGAAAUGCGUAGAUAUCGGAAGGAACAUCAGUGGCGAAGGCGACUUCCUGGACCAAUACUGACGCUCAGG
rnacentral:rRNA from 1 species